rnacentral:SRP_RNA from 1 species
GGGAGAGCUAGGCUGGCGCGCUAGUCCUGCGCUGUUACUGUGAAUGGACUUUACACGGAGCCGAAGCCCAAAGAAGGAUUGCCAUGGUCUCAUUGGUCCCUGCUGUCUUUGCCGACGGUUUGUCCCAGGGGAUGGACUUGCUGGGAAUCAGGUCAGAUUCGGAAGAAAGCAGCCUUAACCUUCAAUCUCUAUGUUCCUGGGGUCGCAAGCCCGAGAAGCUGCGGGGGUUAAACCAACUGGGGCUGUAGCCAUUCGACCACGGGCGUGCCCC